GUCUACGGCCAUGCCACCCUGAGCAAGCCCAAUCCCAUCUGAUCUCAGAAGCUAAGCAGAGUCAGGUCUGGUUAGCACUUGGAUGGGAGACCAUCUAGGAAGACUAGGUGUUGUAGGUG
rnacentral:rRNA from 1 species